GAGACACCCCUAUGGAGCAGGACUUGCUUCAGUGGGACUUUGGUGCUCAUUAAGUCGGCCCCUUGAGUAUGUCGCU
rnacentral:pre_miRNA from 1 species